rnacentral:rRNA from 1 species
GGGGAAUAUUGGACAAUGGGCGGAAGCCUGAUCCAGCCAUGCCGCGUGUGUGAUGAAGGCCUUAGGGUUGUAAAGCACUUUCGCCGAUGAAGAUAAUGACGGUAGUCGGAGAAGAAGCCCCGGCUAACUUCGUGCCAGCAGCCGCGGUAAUACGAAGGGGGCAAGCGUUGUUCGGAUUUACUGGGCGUAAAGCGUACGUAGGCGGAUGAUUAAGUCAGGGGUGAAAUCCCGGGGCUCAACCUCGGAACUGCCUUUGAUACUGGUCAUCUUGAGUCCGGGAGAGGUGAGUGGAACUCCUAGUGUAGAGGUGAAAUUCGUAGAUAUUAGGAAGAACACCAGUGGCGAAGGCGGCUCACUGGCCCGGAACUGACGCUGAGGUACGAAAGCGUGGGGAGCAAAC